GCGGCAGCACGGGUACUUGUACCUGGUGGCGAGCGGCGGACGGGUGAGUAAUGCCUAGGAAUCUGCCUGGUAGUGGGGGAUAACGCUCGGAAACGGACGCUAAUACCGCAUACGUCCUACGGGAGAAAGCAGGGGACCUUCGGGCCUUGCGCUAUCAGAUGAGCCUAGGUCGGAUUAGCUAGUUGGUGAGGUAAUGGCUCACCAAGGCGACGAUCCGUAACUGGGCUGAGAGGAUGAUCAGUCACACUGGAACUGAGACACGGUCCAGACUCCUACGGGAGGCAGCAGUGGGGAAUAUUGGACAAUGGGCGAAAGCAUGAUCCAGCCAUGCCGCGUGUGUGAAGAAGGUCUUCGGAUUGUAAAGCACUUUAAGUCGGGAGGAAGGGCAUUUACCUAACACGUGAGUGUUUUGACGUUACCGACAGAAUAAGCCCCGGCCAACUCUGUGCCAGCAGCCGGCGGUAAUACAGAGGGUGCAAGUCGUUAAUCGGAAUUACUGGGCGUAAAGCGCGCGUAGGUGGUUUGUUAGCCCGGAUGUGAAAUCCCCGGGCUCAACCUGGGAACUGCAUCCCAAACUGGCAAGCUUUAGUAUGGUAGAGGG
rnacentral:rRNA from 1 species